GGGUUGUGAGGUUAAGCGACUAAGCGUACACGGUGGAUGCCCUGGCAGUCAGAGGCGAUGAAGGACGUGCUAAUCUGCGAAAAGCGUCGGUAAGGUGAUAUGAACCGUUAUAACCGGCGAUGUCCGAAUGGGGAAACCCAGUGCAAUUCGUUGCACUAUCGUUAACUGAAUACAUAGGUUAACGAGGCGAACCGGGGGAACUGAAACAUCUAAGUACCCCGAGGAAAAGAAAUCAACCGAGAUUCCCCCAGUAGCGGCGAGCGAACGGGGAGCAGCCCAGAGUCUGAAUCAGCUUGUGUGUUAGUGGAACGGUCUGGAAAGUCCGACGGUACAGGGUGAUAGUCCCGUACACCAAAAUGCACAGGCUGUGAACUCGAAGAGUAGGGCGGGACACGUGGUAUCCUGUCUGAAUAUGGGGGGACCAUCCUCCAAGGCUAAAUACUCCUGACUGACCGAUAGUGAACCAGUACCGUGAGGGAAAGGCGAAAAGAACCCCGGCGAGGGGAGUGAAAAAGAACCUGAAACCGUGUACGUACAAGCAGUGGGAGCACCUUCGGGUGUGACUGCGUACCUUUUGUAUAAUGGGUCAGCGACUUAUAUUCUGUAGCAAGGUUAACCGUAUAGGGGAGCCGCAGGGAAACCGAGUCUUAACUGGGCGUUAAGUUGCAGGGUAUAGACCCGAAACCCGGUGAUCUAGCCAUGGGCAGGUUGAAGGUUGGGUAACACUAACUGGAGGACCGAACCGACUAAUGUUGAAAAAUUAGCGGAUGACUUGUGGCUGGGGGUGAAAGGCCAAUCAAACCGGGAGAUAGCUGGUUCUCCCCGAAAGCUAUUUAGGUAGCGCCUCGUGAACUCAUCUUCGGGGGUAGAGCACUGUUUCGGCUAGGGGGUCAUCCCGACUUACCAACCCGAUGCAAACUACGAAUACCGAAGAAUGUUAUCACGGGAGACACACGGCGGGUGCUAACGUCCGUCGUGAAGAGGGAAACAACCCAGACCGCCAGCUAAGGUCCCAAAGUCAUGGUUAAGUGGGAAACGAUGUGGGAAGGCACAGACAGCCAGGAUGUUGGCUUAGAAGCAGCCAUCAUUUAAAGAAAGCGUAAUAGCUCACUGGUCGAGUCGGCCUGCGCGGAAGAUGUAACGGGGCUAAACCAUGCACCGAAGCUGCGGCAGCGACACUAUGUGUUGUUGGGUAGGGGAGCGUUCUGUAAGCCUGCGAAGGUGACCUGUGAGGGUUGCUGGAGGUAUCAGAAGUGCGAAUGCUGACAUAAGUAACGAUAAAGCGGGUGAAAAGCCCGCUCGCCGGAAGACCAAGGGUUCCUGUCCAACGUUAAUCGGGGCAGGGUGAGUCGACCCCUAAGGCGAGGCCGAAAGGCGUAGUCGAUGGGAAACAGGUUAAUAUUCCUGUACUUGGUGUUACUGCGAAGGGGGGACGGAGAAGGCUAUGUUAGCCGGGCGACGGUUGUCCCGGUUUAAGCAUGUAGGCUGGUUGUCCAGGCAAAUCCGGAUAAUCAAGGCUGAGGUGUGAUGACGAGGCACUACGGUGCUGAAGUAACAAAUGCCCUGCUUCCAGGAAAAGCCUCUAAGCAUCAGGUAACAUUAAAUCGUACCCCAAACCGACACAGGUGGUCAGGUAGAGAAUACCAAGGCGCUUGAGAGAACUCGGGUGAAGGAACUAGGCAAAAUGGUGCCGUAACUUCGGGAGAAGGCACGCUGGUGUGUAGGUGAAGUCCCUGCGGAUGGAGCUGAGACCAGUCGAAGAUACCAGCUGGCUGCAACUGUUUAUUAAAAACACAGCACUGUGCAAACACGAAAGUGGACGUAUACGGUGUGACGCCUGCCCGGUGCCGGAAGGUUAAUUGAUGGGGUUAUCCGUAAGGAGAAGCUCUUGAUCGAAGCCCCGGUAAACGGCGGCCGUAACUAUAACGGUCCUAAGGUAGCGAAAUUCCUUGUCGGGUAAGUUCCGACCUGCACGAAUGGCGUAAUGAUGGCCAGGCUGUCUCCACCCGAGACUCAGUGAAAUUGAACUCGCUGUGAAGAUGCAGUGUACCCGCGGCAAGACGGAAAGACCCCGUGAACCUUUACUAUAGCUUGACACUGAACAUUGAGCCUUGAUGUGUAGGAUAGGUGGGAGGCUUUGAAGCGUGGACGCCAGUCUGCGUGGAGCCAACCUUGAAAUACCACCCUUUAAUGUUUGAUGUUCUAACGUUGGCCCCUUAUCGGGGUUGCGGACAGUGUCUGGUGGGUAGUUUGACUGGGGCGGUCUCCUCCCAAAGCGUAACGGAGGAGCACGAAGGUUAGCUAAUCCUGGUCGGACAUCAGGAGGUUAGUGCAAUGGCAUAAGCUAGCUUGACUGCGAGCGUGACGGCGCGAGCAGGUGCGAAAGCAGGUCAUAGUGAUCCGGUGGUUCUGAAUGGAAGGGCCAUCGCUCAACGGAUAAAAGGUACUCCGGGGAUAACAGGCUGAUACCGCCCAAGAGUUCAUAUCGACGGCGGUGUUUGGCACCUCGAUGUCGGCUCAUCACAUCCUGGGGCUGAAGUAGGUCCCAAGGGUAUGGCUGUUCGCCAUUUAAAGUGGUACGCGAGCUGGGUUUAGAACGUCGUGAGACAGUUCGGUCCCUAUCUGCCGUGGGCGCUGGAGAAUUGAGGGGGGCUGCUCCUAGUACGAGAGGACCGGAGUGGACGCAUCACUGGUGUUCGGGUUGUCAUGCCAAUGGCACUGCCCGGUAGCUAAAUGCGGAAGAGAUAAGUGCUGAAAGCAUCUAAGCACGAAACUUGCCCCGAGAUGAGUUCUCCCUGAGACUUUAAGUCUCCUGAAGGAACGUUAAAGACGAUGACGUUGAUAGGCCGGGUGUGUAAGCGCAGCGAUGCGUUGAGCUAACCGGUACUAAUGAACCGUGAGGCUUAACCUUACAACGCCGAAG
rnacentral:rRNA from 1 species